ensembl:lncRNA
GGCUUCCAGUGUGGUUAAAAAGCUGCCAAGUGGCUGUAGAGAGAGGCUUCAGGCAGAAGCUCUGAAACCAGAGGGGUUCCUCAAAGGCCCCUGUAAGAUACGCUGGGCCCUUUACUGGGUGCAACUGGACAAAUGUCUCCUCCAGAAACAAAAUACAAAGAAACUAUAAGGGACUAAAAGUAACUGCAUGCAUUCACAGUUGGGGCAAAUUAUGAACAGCAGAUACAAAAAGGCCAAAACCCAACUGCCGCUUCUGAGAUGCCAGGAGCAAAAGCAGAGUACUCUGCAUGAUCCCUGCAAACAGCACCACUAAGGGGGUGAGCAGACCACCAGAGCCACCCGUCCAGCCCAACCCUCCAAUCUAUUCCUACACUCACCCAUUUGAGGGGCCAUCUCACUCUCCCCACCAGGAAUGAGCAAGGGCGCCAGUUACAUGUUUUCACUCCUUCGUGCUGUAGCACGGAUCCCAGUACAGCCUUGCCUAAAUUCUGCCAUCUGGCUUCUUAUCAAUUUCUGUUGAUUAAAGAGUCCAAGGACCCAGAUUGGCGGCAGCUGGGCUUCAGAAGCCCCUAGUCCUGCUAGAGAGUGAGUGGAGAACUCGCCCUGCCCAGCCUGGGGACCAACCAGCGUGUGGAGGGGAGUCACAUGGCUGUCAUCUUAUUGAUGUGUUUCACCUGCUUCCCCAGGACUGGGCUCUCUGGGAAGGCACAGAGGUGGGGUCUGGCGGGCAGAACCCAGGGUAUGCAGAUCCAAAAAAGGCUUGGUUCUGGUUCUUCUCCAUGAGAAUGGCAGCUCCCAUAUAGCGUCCUGAGUUUUACUCCAUUCUUCUUGGGGUGGCUUCUAUGCGUCCUGAAGAGGGCACGGCUGCCCCACUGGUUUUGCAUUUUCAAGAGAUGAUGGGCACGCUCAAGCUUCUCCUUGGCUGAUUCAUAGAAAAAGUCGUUGACGCCCUCCAGAGCCACAUCCUCUCCUUGGAAAUAGAAGCCCAGAGAGAGGACUAUAGUCAUUGCCACAUCUGGAAACUGUUCAUAGGUGCUGUCUCUGCUGCCACCUUCACGACAAGGGCUCCACUUGGUCCCAGAUUUGUAACAUCAUUUUCAAACUCAAAGUUUGGAGUUGAUGCAUCUGUUUGGCAGACUGGAUCAAACACCUGCAUCCCAUCUUUACAGAAGGCGAGGAAGGUCUUAUGGCCAGAGGUUCCUUUCCCUGGAAGUUGAGGGAUCUUCCAGACCCAGGGAUCGAAACUACAUCUCCUGCAUCUCCUGCAGUGGCAAAUGGAUUCUUUACUACUAAGCCACCUGGGCAGUCCCUUUGUAUCACAGAACAGCUGAACCCUAUAGGCAUUUCCACUAUGACAACUGGCAGAAUGUUAGGUUUGGCCAAUAGAGGGUGCUGGAAAGACACUGGGAAGCCAGAACAAGAGCAAGGACUUUCUCCUUCAGGUGGAUUGGCUUGCAGCAGAGGCCUGCUUGUGUUCACCUCAGCAAUCCUCGCGGUUCGCUUGUGCGGCCCCUGCCUCCAGCAAGUUUCUUCACCACAAGUGGACUGUGGACUGUAGGUUCCUGCGACAGCCAUGCCCUCUCCUCCUCAGCCAAGGGUAGCAGCUAUUCUUAUAGUUCCUGCUUCUAGACCCCUGAGAACCUACUCUCCCAUUUUUAGUAGUUAGAUACCUUUUACUGGUCAACAAAGUUUAUAUUAAAUUUUCCCUGUUCAAAUUACUAUUAUGAUUUCUGUCUUGUGGUUGGUCCCAGCAGAAAUACCUAGCAGAUAAGGGAAAAAAGACAGAUGUAAGUUAAUGUAAAUUCUGUGAGAGAAUAGGCCACUAUAAUCACAGCCCCAAAUCCAAAAAAGUUUCAGGUGUAAAUCUACAGAAUUAUGUAUCAGUUUGGAUUGUGUUCAACUGCACAUAACAGAAACCUGACUCAGUGGCUUAACCAAAUAGAUUGAUUUUCUCCUGUACCAUGA